UGGGAAAGGGCCCUGACAUGGGUUUCUUGAGCACUGCUAGAGGGAGAAGGGUAAGCUGGAGAGAGGUGAACCUUGCCUAGGCUGCCACCUUUCAAUGACUGCAACACCAUGACCAUCUGUGGGCCAGCCAAGGAACACACACGCCUGUGAGGUUAUCCACUGGGUCUUUGGUUCUCAGCCUGUCUGUAUUCCAGUCUUGUCUCAGCCACUGAACUGAAAAAAUCAGUUAUUCACUCAGCUCUACUAGUGAGAAGAGUUUGAUAAUGCUAAAUGAGCAGACAGAAGGAUUCCUCAAUCUGACUGACACAAUGUCUGACUUGGGGCCUAACCGUGCAUGCCUUACUCAUGUUGGUACCUCCUUCAAGUCAAUGAGACCAACCACGGUGUGUAGGGCAUAGGGAAAUCUUCAAGUGCCAUAGAGCCACCACAGGAGCAUGAUGGGGGUCGUGACUGGAAUGCCCAUAAACUCCAACAACACGCCUCUUGGAGUCCACUGCAGCCAAUAGAACUUACAGCAGCCGUGGGGCUGCUUUAUCUUAUACUGGGAGAAAAAUAAUCCUCCAGCAGCCCUAUGGAUCAAGGAUUCCAAAGUUCAGCUUUGCUGGGCAGAGUUAUGGUGCAGCUCUGUGACUCAAUUUUCUAACACUCUCCUAGUUGCUUCUGACCUCCUUUGACUGGAUAUGUAACUGACACUAGCCCUUUACAUCAGUUGCCCCCGUGACUUCUAUGCAAGUUGCAUCUACUUUCAAUAGGUAUGAAUGCAGAAUAAAUGAGAUGUAUAGUAAUGACUCAUAAUAGAACACUACUGGUGUCCACACAGAACAAAACAAGUUUUCCAUUCUUUUUCUCUCUUGGUUUUUGACAUGGGGAAAAGGGAAACAUCCAAUACAGCAAAUAAUAGUGGUCAUAUCUGUUGUGUUUAAGGUUAAAGGAAAAAUAAAUUAAGCAUCAGAGGAUAACUCUUACCACCACCAGGUCGAAAAGGAAGUGGCCUUUUAGUGGAUCGGUGAAGAAGGAGUGAUCAAGUGUCCCCUUCAAAGGCAGGGCUGUUUUUCUUGGUUAACAUUCUGCUCUAUUACAGAGUUGUUACUAUGCAUGUGUCUUCCGGGUGGACAGACCCUCUGUUGAACCAUAACUGAAUGACAGCAUGAGCACGGGUGGUAUCAUGGAUUGGUGGGCUGCUGAGAGCAAAACCCAGUGGCUAAUUUUCUUGUGGUUUUCUCUUGAGGGUACUGGCAUGAAGGUUCAUACUUUUAAUUAAAACUCAAUAAUGAUGACUGCCAGAAACAAUCAGAAUACUCACUUUUUUUUUCCUCAUCAUAUUCUAGUAGAAACAAAAACAGUAUAUUUGUUUUCAUUCAGUUGUUGAAUAUGAGGCGUAUGUAUGGUGGUAUCUAUGUAUUCAUUUAUUUAGCAUUAGUUUUAAUAGUGUUAGUCACAAUGACCAAUAAACACUGGGCCUAAUUUGCCACUCUGCUAUACUAGUUACGCUGGCAUGAUUCCACUGAAACUGGUGUAACAGAACGGGGAAUCAGGGCCACUAUUGUGGCAUAUUUUUCCUGUCUCUUAUUACAGAUGCUAGCAGUUUCCACUCUGUGCAAUCAGUGUCAUGCCAGAGUUCCCUCUUCCCCAUGUAAAGCUGACAAUGAUGGGUAAAGAAAAUGUCAACACCUGCAGGAGAAAAUAAAUUAAUUUAAAUGUCUCUUGGUUAGCCCGUAACUUCUUUUAUAAGGCUUUCAUCACUAAAUAUCAGUUUAAACUGAAACAUGAAAUCCUGGUGUGUAAUAUUCCCUUCCCCGGGAAUUCUGUUUGCAAUUUACCACUUGAAAUAACACCCCAAAAAUACUGACAAUUUUCCAAAUAAACUCUAGAGACUAUAUUACAAUGAAUAUUCAACAACAAAUGGGUUUUCCAACCCUCGACUUUAAUAAUUACCUCAGAUACUUAUCUUUUUACAUCAAAUAAAAUUCCAGAGCAAAAACAAAAUAUGAGGUAAUGUACAAUUCAAGAAAAUAU